AAAAGAUAAAAAUUAAUCCAAUAUUGAUUUAAUCUUUAGAAUUAAUUAAAUUAAUUUCUCUUUUAUAUAAAUACUCAACCCCCCUCUUUCUCAACACUCCCAACAACAACAAAAAAAAACCCAUAAAAACUUUUUCUCUCUCCUCUCAACUCCUAACUUCCUUCACUUGCUCUCUCUGCCUCUCCCAAUUCAAACCCAGAAAAGUACAGUACACACUUUUUUCUUGUUCCCUGUUUUUUAUUUAAUUUUCCGAUCUAUCUAAAUUGAAUUGAAAUUGAAAAAGAUGGGGGGAAUUUAAGAAGAAUAUAAAGCUUUGUUUGUGGAAGAAACAAGCUUUUAUAACCGCAUUGUAUUGGGAUUUGCUUUGCCGUCGAUGAUGUGGGAUUUUCUUCCACAUUUUUUACAAACUUGGCUCAGAAACUACAUUGGUGGUGUUUUUUUGUAUUUGGGUUCUAGUUUUCUCUGGUGCUUUGUUAUUUAUUAUUGGAAGCGCAACCUCUUUAUUCCUAAAGAUUGCAUACCAUCAAAAAGAGCUAUGUUAUUACAAAUUGGAGUGGCAAUGUAGGCCAUGCCUUGGUAUACCCUUCUUCCGAAGAUUUCUGAAUAUAUUAUUGAACAAGGGUGGACAAGAUGUUUUCCUCGAAUCAGUGACAUCGGUUUGUCAGCCGAUAUUUACUGAUUUAUCUUUUAAUCGUGGAAUUUGGGAUUUACUAGGUGCAUAGAGAAUUACAUGAUAUAAAACCGCUUUACAAGUAUCUCUAUGCAACCCAUCCAGUGGCGGACCCAGGAAUUUUCGACUGGUGAGUCACAAUUGAUAACUAAAUAUGUAAAUAAAUUUUUUUAUCAAACAACCAAAUAAUAGUACUAAAAAAUACAUCCAAAAACCCAGAAAUCAUAUAUCCUCUGUUCUUGUAUCCUCUUUCUCUAAAGCAAAUCAUCAACCAGUUUCAGUGCAAUGGAAAAUGAACAAAAAACUUAGAUUUUUUUUGGCACAAUAGGACCAUGCCGAACUCUAACUACAGAGUUUCUGAAAUCAGAUGAAUAGACUGAUUAGGAUAAGAGAUGAUAUAUUGAUAUCCAAUUAAAAAAACCCCAGCAAAACACAUCCCACCUCAUAAUACUCCUUCAUUCUUUGGUUUUUCACUAUUUUUUUGGCUCCAAAAUUAUCUCUUUCACUUUCUCUCUCCUCUUCAAUAAUGGUGUCACUCUCCCUCCUUUCAACACUCCCUUCUCUCUCUUCUCCCGCCAUUUCUACUACUUCCUGUAUGAUUCCCAAUUUCUCACAUUUUCAUUCAAUUUUACUCCAAAUUAUAUGAUUAACUUAAUUUUAGCAUAAUUUCAGGGUACAAUUCGCUGUAGUAGUAACAAUUUGGAGGUAGAUGAUGAUCUAGCACCCAGGAUUUUUUUGUUUUUUUUUUUUUUUAAAAAACUAAGAUUUUUUUUUUGGGCCCUGGUGAGUCAUUUGACCCACCAGGCACAAAGGCAGGUCCGCUACUGAACCCAUCACAUAUACAACAAGCAAAAUACUCUUUCUCCUUUUGCUGGUCUUGCAUUUCAUCCCCUUGACGGCAAUUUACAAGCCGUGCCUCAUUUUUGUGCUCUAUUUGUUGUUCCGGUUCAUCUUACGACUCACAUAGCCCUUAUUUUUAUUGAAGGUUUAUGGACAACAAAUAUUCAUGAUUGUAUUCAUGGAAAAGUAUGGCCGGUUAUGGGGGUUAUCAUACUAUUCACCACACUACUUAUCGACAUAAUUAUGGCCAUUAUACCAAAGAAGGUUUGCUAAUGUGUAGUCAUAUUAAAAUUGUAUUCAUACAUUUAAUUUGUUUUAGUGGAACUUGACUUUUGUUCAUCUCCUCGUUGAAACAGUGUAAAUUAUUUUUGGUUGGUGAUAAAUGUUUUUAUUUGAGGAUUAUACAUUACUAUAGAAAGGGUUAAUUAUUAGGAAA